UAAAGUUGCCAGGAAGCAGGCACAAG
rnacentral:piRNA from 1 species